rnacentral:RNase_P_RNA from 1 species
AGUUGAUCAUACGGUCGCGCGGCGAAAGCCGUGAGGAAAGUCCGAGCACCGCAGAGCAGGACGCCGGAUAACGUCCGGUGGAGGCGACUUCAAGGACAGUGCAACAGAAACAGACCGCAGGUUUUCCUGUAAGGAUGGAAAGGGGAGGUAAGAGCUCACCGGCGCCGCGGUAACGAGGCGCGCUGUGUAAACCCCGUCCGGUGCAAGAUUGGGCAAACGUCGCAUGGGUUGCUCGCCCGACGUUUGCCGUGAAUAUCGCUUGAGCGCAUCGGCGACGAUGCGACCAGAUAGAUGACCGUACACGACAGAACUCGGCUUACAGAUCA